GGGACUUAGCUUAACUGGAUCAAAGCACCGCACUGUGAAUGCGGGGAUUGCGGGUUCGAAUCCCGCCGUUCCACCA
rnacentral:tRNA from 1 species